GUCGAGAAUCUUUCACAAUGGGGGCAACCCUGAUGGAGCGACGCCGCGUGGAGGAUAAGGUCUUCGGAUUGUAAACUCCUGUCAUGCGUGAACAAGGUUGCUUGGUUAAUACCUGGGCAAAUUGAUGGUAACGCAAGAGGAAGAGACGGCUAACUCUGUGCCAGCAGCCGCGGUAAUACAGAGGUCUCAAGCGUUGUUCGGAAUCACUGGGCGUAAAGGGUGCGUAGGUGGCGUGGUAAGUCAGAUGUGAAAGCCCGGGGCUCAACCUCGGAACUGCAUCCGAUACUGCCAUGCUGGAGUACUGGAGAGGUGACUAGAAUUCUCGGUGUAGCAGUGAAAUGCGUAGAUAUCGAGAGGAAUACCAAAGGCGUAGGCAGGUCACUGGACAGUUACUGACACUGAGGCACGAAGGCCAGGGGAGCGAACGGGAUUAGAAACCCGGGUAGUCC
rnacentral:rRNA from 1 species